AUCGAACGCUGGCGGCAGGCCUAACACAUGCAAGUCGAACGAGUGGCGGACGGGUGAGUAAUGUCUGGGAAACUGCCUGAUGGAGGGGGAUAAAUACUGGAAACGGUAGCUAAUACCGCACACCAUCAGUUGUGCCGAGAGGGGAUUAGCUAGUAGGUGGGGUAACGGCUCACAUAGGCGACGAUGCCUAGCCGGUCAGAGAGGCAGACCAGCCAAACUGGAACUGAUACACGGGCCAGACUCCUACGGGAGGCAGCAGUGGGGAAUGUUGGACAAUGGGCGCAAGCCUGACGCAGCCACGCCGGGUGUGUGAAGAAGGCGUUCGGGUUGUAAAGCACUUUUAGCGGGGAGGCGGUACCCGAAGAAGAAGCAACGGCUAACUACGUGCCAGCAGCCGCGGUAAUAC
rnacentral:rRNA from 1 species